UAGCUCUCAUUUCCUAAGUGCUUAUUAUAUGCCAGCCACUGCCUAAGCAUUUGGAAGGCACCAUCUCACCUACGUUCACAGCAGCUCACAAGUAGGCACUAUUAUUAUCCCGCCGUUGAGGGAAGAGACUGAGAGGUUAAUUCCCUUACCCUCUGGCUGGGUGUGGAGAGGGGAGAGGUAAGGCUGCCUGUGGAGCGUGAUGGGCCAGUAAGGAUGACUUAAAUCCUUUGCAUUGACACCAACUUCAAUGUCUUGCAAUCACACUUCCUUUCUUGCACGUCUUCCAAGAUGGAGCCGACAAGAAUGGAAAAACAGGCCAACCUUAUCUUUGUUUGGAGGGCUGGGAAUCACAGAAGGCAAUUGACCUGUCCAGUUUAGCCUUCUUGUUCUACUUCUCAUUAAAUUGACCGCUUUCUGGAAGUUAAUUAACAAACACACUCUCAUGCUGCUGCUUUGGCCCAAUUUCCUGGUUCUGGCAAUCAGGGAAAAAGGCCCGGCUACAGAUUGCUCAACCCCAGAUCCUGGAGCUCCCCCAUGCGGUCAGAUUUAGACUAAAAUGUGCUUCUGAGAGAAUGAGUCACGUAAAGAACAAGCUCCUUCCAUGGCAAUCAUGACCAGAGAUGCAGCUGAGGCCAUUUUGUCAAGAAGUAAUCUUUUUUGGGGAAAAAAAAAUAUAUCAUACAGGUGCAUGCCAGUCCCUGCUGUAAUGGAAUGUAACAAAGGAAGCAAUUAAAUUCAGUUAGGAACCUAUAGCUUUAAGUUAGAUAAUGCAUUCAGAAAGCAUUUUAUAAACUGCAACGUGUGAUAAUGUAAGGCGUUAUUAUUAUUAUCCUUACGUCUGCGAAGUUGCAUGGGUCACUUCUUCUGUGGCAAGUUAAAGGGCCAGCAGAUGGAGAGGCUCACAUGAGUGGCUUUCUGGAGAAGAGUGACAGAGGCUAAAGAGUUAAACUCCCCGGAAAACCAAUUUAUGCAAAGGGCUGCAUCCUGACAUCCAGGCCUGCGCUAAAGAUCUGAAUUACAAAUUUACAGAAUUUGCUUCUCGGUAAGUAAUUUCUUUUCUUCCUAAUGGAGUCUGUAAUUUCCAAUGGACUAGCGCCCUGUUAUUUUCACUGACAGAGUAAACAAAAUCUUGACCACGGAGAAGCCUAAUUCUGCUCAUCCUGAAAACUGUAUUUUUAAAAGGCUUCAAGAGGGACACUGAAAGGAUGGUUAAAACUAAUACCUAUGAUCUCACGUUGCUGCAAAGCACAUUCCCCAGUUCCCUCAUGUUUGUGACUUGGGUAUGUGCCUCCUUCCCCAAGAUGAUGAAUUCAAGAAGGAUCCCACAGGCUGCCAGGAACAACUGUUCUUUUGAAUGAACUGUUUUAUGGAUAUCAGUCAAAAAGUCACCAUCAGCUGAACUGGAAAGCAGACUUGUGUGUGCAUGUGUGUGUAUAUGUGUGUGUAUAUGUGUGUGCAUGUGCGUGUGCAUGUGCAUGUGUGUGUAUGUGCAUGUGUGCGAUGGCGGCCAUUUCAGCUCAAUAGCUCCAUUCUUGGAAAGGCCACUUCUUCUUGACAUUGGAGAAGAUACAUUUCCCUGUGCACCUAAAAAUAAAUAAGUAAAUAAGUAAAUAAAUGACAACAACAACAAUAAUAAUAAAGGCACCUUUGCCCCCUC